AACGCGAAGAACCUUACCUGGGCUUGAACCGCACAGGACCAUCUCUGGAAACAGAGACUUCCCGCAAGGGACCUGUGUAGAGGUGCUGCAUGGCUGUCGUCAGCUCGUGCCGUGAGGUGUUGGGUUAAGUCCCGCAACGAGCGCAACCCUUACUCAUAGUUGCUACCCGCAAGGGAGAACUCUAUGAGGACUGCUCCGGAUAACGGAGAGGAAGGUGGGGAUGAGGUCAAGUCAGCAUGGCCUUUAUGUCCAGGGCUACACACGUGUUACAAUGCGCGCUACAGAGCGUUGCAAACCCGCGAGGGGGAGCUAAUCGCACAAAAGCGCGCUCAGUUCGGAUUGCAGUCUGCAACUCGACUGCAUGAAGCCGGAAUCGCUAGUAAUGGCGCAUCAGAACGGCGCCGUGAAUACGUUCCCGGGCCUUGUA
rnacentral:rRNA from 1 species